rnacentral:rRNA from 1 species
UACGAAGGGGGCUAGCGUUGCUCGGAAUCACUGGGCGUAAAGCGCACGUAGGCGGAUCUUUAAGUCAGGGGUGAAAUCCUGGAGCUCAACUCCAGAACUGCCUUUGAUACUGGGGAUCUCGAGUCCGGAAGAGGUGAGUGGAACUCCGAGUGUAGAGGUGAAAUGCGUAGAGAUCUGGAAGAACACCAAAGGCGAAGGCAGCGUCCUGGGAAGCAUCUGACGCUCAGGUGCGAAAGCUAGGGGAGCGAACGGG